CAUUUAGUUUCGGGUAAGGGUAAUCAAUGAUUAUGGUUAUGUAUAAAAUCUCCUUUAAAAUUUUCUGAAUGU
rnacentral:tRNA from 1 species